UUUAAGUGAACCGUGUACUCCCUCAAUAGUUAGCAUAUUGAGGGUCCCGGAUUGGCUUCAUAGUCUAACAAGCUACAAUACCUACUCAGCAGCAUAUUAUCUUUUUAAUAGCUACGUAUUUAGAAUUUUACAAUGUCGCAGUACGAUAAAGGCACAUAUGAUCAACAAGGUUAUGGACAGCCACAGCAAGGUUAUGAACAGCCACGGCAAGGUUAUGGACAGCCACAGCAAGGUUAUGGACAGCAAGGUCAUGCUCAGCAUCAUGUAUCAAAUACAACUGUGGUUAUACAACAACCUGCCGCACAAGUAAAAGGCAAAAGACAAUGGCGACAUGGAAUGUGCGGCUGCUUUAAUGAUAUACCCAUCUGCUUAUUGUCUACAUGUUUUGGACAAUGUUACGGUUGUUACAUGGUGACCAAAGCGGAUGAACAUUGUUGUCUUGGGUGGUGUUGUCCUGGUUACUUGUUACCACUUCGAUCUUACGUCAGAGGGCGUCUCGGAAUUGAGGGUAGCAUUUUUAAUGAUUUCUGCGCUGUGGCGUGCUGUGGACCAUGUGUGAUGUGCCAGGUGGCCCAAGAAUUGAAUGAGAGCAAUAAUUCUGGCGAAUGGCAGAUGUCUUAAAAUAUAUUUAUUACGGAUCUUUCACUUUGCGGUAGUCUCCGUCGCUUUAAUCCAGAUUGUCUCCGUUCGACGGCAACGAAUUUGUCUGAACCAAAUAGAGCCAAUUGUGUAUGUUCGCGUGUAUCACUCCUACAAUGGUUUUUGGUAAAUGUUUCAUUUCACCAGUUAAUAUUUUUGAAAAUUUCCAAGACACGAUGGGCGUCGGUUUUCUCUCAACCAGUCGUAACAUGCGCGAAUCUCCGUAUAACAUUUGGCAUUGUUUGGAAACUUGACACUAUUUUGUCCAACCCAGAAUUCGCUGUAGUUGAGGCCGAGACAAUUUAGACUGGAGUCAUCGAGAAUAACGGUACUUAUUUUGAAUGGAAAGAUCUAAAAUAGAUUAUAACAGAUCAGCAGCAUCCCUAAUAUCUAUACAUUUCCUCGACAUAUGUAUAUUAAAUAUGUAUAUAUUUUCUUUGGUCUAUUUCCGUGCUUGAUAACAAUUUGUUUUACAUCAAUCGAAUUAGAUUACAAUUUUCUAUUGUUUUGGGUUGUUUUUCUUUUUUUUCUUUUUUUCUUUUUUUUUUGUUCCACUGCAUUGUAACGGAGAACAACCCCAAAUAUGACACGAAACCAAAUUAAUAUAUUGUGUAGGAUAUACCACCAUGUAAUUUUAGACGAAUUAAUCGAUAACAUUAAUAUUCGUAUGCCGCACCAUAAAGUGUCAAACAUAUUUUCUAUGAUGUAUAUACAGUUAUGCUUUAGACCCAGUUUGUUCUGAAAUAAACAAUUUCUCAUCACUUGAUAUUAAAGCGAGGGUCUGUAUCUUAUAUUACAUAAAUUCAACAAUUAAUGUAAGGUCAUGCUGAUGGCCCAUAGCGCAGCAAGCAUUGGUUACGAUAAGGGUGACAUGAAAUAAAUUUAUUGUUAUCAUAAAUAAAUGUUUUUAACCAGAGUGUGUUUUAUGAAUGCUAAUAAAGGAGCUAGACCUUAUUAAUUUAGGCCAAAAGACUAAUUUUAGUUUCGCUUUUCGAUUAAACUGUCGACAAUCAGGUUGAUCUCAACACUGGCUCUCCCUGUGGAUCUCAAUUUUACAAAAUGCAAAUCAACACAUUAAACUUAAUUAAAUUGGCAAUCCUACGUUUUAUACACAAAUCAAAGGAGUUUUUUUUUAUUAAAAAUAAUACGAAUAAUACAACUGUAUUAACAUUUUAUUGUAUUACUAAUUUAUAUAUGUACAAUUGUAAACCAUUGGUUUAAAAAACUUUCUUUUUUAUAUCAAAAUAAACAUUUAAUGUUGUU